rnacentral:tRNA from 1 species
GCUGGCAUAGCUCAGUUGGUAGAGCAGCUGAUUUGUAAUCAGCAGGUCGUGAGUUCGAGUCUCUCUGCCAGCUCCA